UACGAAGGGGGCUAGCGUUGCUCGGAAUCACUGGGCGUAAAGGGCGCGUAGGCGGCCGCUUGCGUCGGAUGUGAAAGCCCGGGGCUCAACCCCGGAACGGCAUCCGAUACGGGGCGGCUCGAGACCGAGAGAGGUGAGUGGAACUGCGAGUGUAGGGGUGAAAUUCGUAGAUAUUCGCAAGAACACCAGUGGCGAAGGCGGCUCACUGGACCGGAACUGACGCUGAGGAGCGAAAGCAUGGGGAGCGAACAGG
rnacentral:rRNA from 1 species